rnacentral:rRNA from 1 species
GAUGAACGCUGGCGGCAGGCCUAAUACAUGCAAGUCGAACGAAGAUCUAGCUUGCUAGAUCUUAGUGGCGAACGGGUGAGUAAUACAUAAAUAAUCUGCCCAUAUGACUGGGAUAACUAUUGGAAACGAUAGCUAAUACCGGAUAGGUUGAUCGGAGGCAUCUCUGAUGAAUUAAAGUAGGAUUUCUACACAAAUGGAUGAGUUUAUGGCGCAUUAGUUAGUUGGUGGGGUAACGGCCUACCAAGACGAUGAUGCGUAGCCGACCUGAGAGGGUGACCGGCCACACUGGGACUGAGACACGGCCCAGACUCCUACGGGAGGCAGCAGUAGGGAAUUUUCGGCAAUGGGCGCAAGCCUGACCGAGCAACGCCGCGUGAGUGAUUAAGGCCUUCGGGUUGUAAAGCUCUGUUGUAAGGGAAGAACAUUCAGGAUAGGAAAUGAUCUUGAACUGACGGUACCUUACCAGAAAGCCACGGCUAACUACGUGCCAGCCGCCGCCGUAA